UAUAUAUAUAUAUAUAGAGUCCGGCUGCUAUGCUAUUAAUAGCACGAAGCACUUGGUGCUACCAAGUUUUCCGCCGUUAGAUCUAUCCUUUUGAUCAUUUUCACCCGUUAGAUCAUAUUAUUCAACCAACCACUCACUCAACCCUAAGGGGCCCACAUCAUCCUAACCGCACAUCUCUUAAUCCAAUGGCCAAAAACUUGAUAGCACCAAUGACUUGGUGCUAUUAAUAGCAUAGUAGCCUAGUUAUAUAUAUAUAUAUAUAUAUAGAGAGAGAGAGAGAGAGAGAGAGAGAGAGAGAGAGAUAAAGCAAAAAUU
rnacentral:lncRNA from 1 species